rnacentral:rRNA from 1 species
GGGUUGUGAGGUUAAGCGACUAAGCGUACACGGUGGAUGCCCUGGCAGUCAGAGGCGAUGAAGGACGUGCUAAUCUGCGAUAAGCGUCGGUAAGGUGAUAUGAACCGUUAUAACCGGCGAUUUCCGAAUGGGGAAACCCAGUGUGUUUCGACACACUAUCAUUAACUGAAUCCAUAGGUUAAUGAGGCGAACCGGGGGAACUGAAACAUCUAAGUACCCCGAGGAAAAGAAAUCAACCGAGAUUCCCCCAGUAGCGGCGAGCGAACGGGGAGCAGCCCAGAGCCUGAAUCAGUGUGUGUGUUAGUGGAAGCGUCUGGAAAGGCGCGCGAUACAGGGUGACAGCCCCGUACACAAAAAUGCACAUGCUGUGAGCUCGAUGAGUAGGGCGGGACACGUGGUAUCCUGUCUGAAUAUGGGGGGACCAUCCUCCAAGGCUAAAUACUCCUGACUGACCGAUAGUGAACCAGUACCGUGAGGGAAAGGCGAAAAGAACCCCGGCGAGGGGAGUGAAAAAGAACCUGAAACCGUGUACGUACAAGCAGUGGGAGCACGCUUAGGCGUGUGACUGCGUACCUUUUGUAUAAUGGGUCAGCGACUUAUAUUCUGUAGCAAGGUUAACCGAAUAGGGGAGCCGAAGGGAAACCGAGUCUUAACUGGGCGUUAAGUUGCAGGGUAUAGACCCGAAACCCGGUGAUCUAGCCAUGGGCAGGUUGAAGGUUGGGUAACACUAACUGGAGGACCGAACCGACUAAUGUUGAAAAAUUAGCGGAUGACUUGUGGCUGGGGGUGAAAGGCCAAUCAAACCGGGAGAUAGCUGGUUCUCCCCGAAAGCUAUUUAGGUAGCGCCUCGUGAAUUCAUCUCCGGGGGUAGAGCACUGUUUCGGCAAGGGGGUCAUCCCGACUUACCAACCCGAUGCAAACUGCGAAUACCGGAGAAUGUUAUCACGGGAGACACACGGCGGGUGCUAACGUCCGUCGUGAAGAGGGAAACAACCCAGACCGCCAGCUAAGGUCCCAAAGUCAUGGUUAAGUGGGAAACGAUGUGGGAAGGCCCAGACAGCCAGGAUGUUGGCUUAGAAGCAGCCAUCAUUUAAAGAAAGCGUAAUAGCUCACUGGUCGAGUCGGCCUGCGCGGAAGAUGUAACGGGGCUAAACCAUGCACCGAAGCUGCGGCAGCGACGCUGAUGCGUUGUUGGGUAGGGGAGCGUUCUGUAAGCCUGCGAAGGUGUGCUGUGAGGCAUGCUGGAGGUAUCAGAAGUGCGAAUGCUGACAUAAGUAACGAUAAAGCGGGUGAAAAGCCCGCUCGCCGGAAGACCAAGGGUUCCUGUCCAACGUUAAUCGGGGCAGGGUGAGUCGACCCCUAAGGCGAGGCCGAAAGGCGUAGUCGAUGGGAAACAGGUUAAUAUUCCUGUACUUGGUGUUACUGCGAAGGGGGGACGGAGAAGGCUAUGUUGGCCGGGCGACGGUUGUCCCGGUUUAAGCGUGUAGGCUGGUUUUCCAGGCAAAUCCGGAAAAUCAAGGCUGAGGCGUGAUGACGAGGCACUACGGUGCUGAAGCAACAAAUGCCCUGCUUCCAGGAAAAGCCUCUAAGCAUCAGGUAACAUCAAAUCGUACCCCAAACCGACACAGGUGGUCAGGUAGAGAAUACCAAGGCGCUUGAGAGAACUCGGGUGAAGGAACUAGGCAAAAUGGUGCCGUAACUUCGGGAGAAGGCACGCUGAUAUGUAGGUGAAGUCCCUUGCGGAUGGAGCUGAAAUCAGUCGAAGAUACCAGCUGGCUGCAACUGUUUAUUAAAAACACAGCACUGUGCAAACACGAAAGUGGACGUAUACGGUGUGACGCCUGCCCGGUGCCGGAAGGUUAAUUGAUGGGGUCAGCGCAAGCGAAGCUCUUGAUCGAAGCCCCGGUAAACGGCGGCCGUAACUAUAACGGUCCUAAGGUAGCGAAAUUCCUUGUCGGGUAAGUUCCGACCUGCACGAAUGGCGUAAUGAUGGCCAGGCUGUCUCCACCCGAGACUCAGUGAAAUUGAACUCGCUGUGAAGAUGCAGUGUACCCGCGGCAAGACGGAAAGACCCCGUGAACCUUUACUAUAGCUUGACACUGAACAUUGAGCCUUGAUGUGUAGGAUAGGUGGGAGGCUUAGAAGUGUGGACGCCAGUCUGCAUGGAGCCGACCUUGAAAUACCACCCUUUAAUGUUUGAUGUUCUAACGUUGACCCGUAAUCCGGGUUGCGGACAGUGUCUGGUGGGUAGUUUGACUGGGGCGGUCUCCUCCUAAAGAGUAACGGAGGAGCACGAAGGUUGGCUAAUCCUGGUCGGACAUCAGGAGGUUAGUGCAAUGGCAUAAGCCAGCUUGACUGCGAGCGUGACGGCGCGAGCAGGUGCGAAAGCAGGUCAUAGUGAUCCGGUGGUUCUGAAUGGAAGGGCCAUCGCUCAACGGAUAAAAGGUACUCCGGGGAUAACAGGCUGAUACCGCCCAAGAGUUCAUAUCGACGGCGGUGUUUGGCACCUCGAUGUCGGCUCAUCACAUCCUGGGGCUGAAGUAGGUCCCAAGGGUAUGGCUGUUCGCCAUUUAAAGUGGUACGCGAGCUGGGUUUAGAACGUCGUGAGACAGUUCGGUCCCUAUCUGCCGUGGGCGCUGGAGAACUGAGGGGGGCUGCUCCUAGUACGAGAGGACCGGAGUGGACGCAUCACUGGUGUUCGGGUUGUCAUGCCAAUGGCACUGCCCGGUAGCUAAAUGCGGAAGAGAUAAGUGCUGAAAGCAUCUAAGCACGAAACUUGCCCCGAGAUGAGUUCUCCCUGACCCUUUAAGGGUCCUGAAGGAACGUUGAAGACGACGACGUUGAUAGGCCGGGUGUGUAAGCGCAGCGAUGCGUUGAGCUAACCGGUACUAAUGAACCGUGAGGCUUAACCUUACAACGCCGAAGCUGUU